GACUAGAAACCGUUUGGCUUCAUCUAAAAAAAAAAGAAGAAAAGGAAAGUUAACUUUACCUACUACUACUCUUCUUCUUCUUCUUCCUUUGCCUCUGGUUCUAGGGUUUUUUAUUGGGCAAAUCCAUUUACUUGAACAAUUUUAUUGAUUUAUUGAGUCUUUAGGUUUAGAUUUUGGAAGCAAACAUUGUUUAAUGACAAAUCAUGGGGAUGAUUUCUGGUCUUUAUUGAAUUUUAACUUCAGGUACAGGUACGUCAUAAUGUUUAUGUGACCAGCUCAACUGCUGUAGCAUCAACAGCUUUAAGGUACGGAUUGUGUGUCUCCAUGUUGCCAGAGGGUUAGUGGACGGAUGGCUUAUGCAAAGACCGCCACUCGUCUCAAGGGUUCAUUUAUCCAUCAACUGGUAGUAAUUGCUAUCUGUUUGACUAGCUAUCAGAAUGUAGUGGCUCUACAUGUGCCACAUAAGACAACUCAAACUUCUUCCACGUCUGAACUAGCUACCCCUCCCAGAAGUGGAAUCUUCGAACCAAUUGAGAUACCACCUGCUGUCAUCCCUCAUUAUCCUUUCCCCGGGAAAUCAUUGCCGCCAAUGUACCCUUCCUUUCCGAAGACAUAUGACCCUGUCUUGACUGGAAGAUGCCCUGUAAAUUUCUCUGUCAUUUCAAGCAUCACAGAAAAAACAGCAUCUGAUUGUACUCGAUCUUUGUCAACGAUAGUUGGAAAUGUAAUAUGCUGUCCACAGUUCAAUAGCUUACUCCACAUAUUCCAGGGAUUUUACAGCAACCGUUCUGAUACUUUAGUUUUACAAAGUGCAGUAGCUGAUGAUUGUUUUAGAGAUAUCAUCAGUAUAUUAACUAGUAAAGGAGCAAACAGCUCCAUUGCUGGUCUGUGCUCUGUGAAGUCGUCAAAUCUAACUGGUGGGUCUUGCCCUGUGAAGGACAUUGGUACUUUCGAAAAAAUUGUGAAUACAAGCAAGUUGUUGGAGUCUUGUAGCACGGUCGAUUCUCUUAAAGAAUGUUGUAGGCCUGUUUGUCAGCCUGCAAUUUCGGAGGCUGCUCUUCUGAUUUCAGGGAUCAAGACGGCUCUUGGUGGUAAGAACAUAGUUGGAGUACCAAAUGAAAUUGAUACACUUAGCGACUGUAAAGGAGUGGUCUACUCAUGGAUUGCAAGAAAACUACAAUUUGAUGAUGCCAAUUCUGCAUUCCGGUUAUUGUCUUCCUGCAAAGUUAAUAAGGUGUGUCCCCUGGAAUUCAAGCAGCCAUUAGAAGUGGUCAAUGCGUGCAGAAAUUUAGCCGCUCCAAGCCCUUCGUGUUGUAGCUCAUUAAAUGCCUAUAUUUCUGGGAUACAGAAGCAGAUGUUGAUUACAAAUCGACAAGCAAUUAUAUGUGCUGCGGCAUUUGGUUUUAUGUUACAGAAGGCCGGGGUCAUGACGAAUGUUUACGAGCUUUGUGAUGUUGACCUGAAAGACUUCAGUCUCCAGGCAUACGGGCAAGAAGAAGGGUGCUUGCUUCGAAGUUAUCCAGCAGAUCUGGUGUAUGACAACUCAACAGGUUUCAGCUUUACUUGCGACUUAAAUGACAAUAUUGCUGCUCCAUGGCCUUCAUCAUCGGCAGCCACAUCCUUGACUCUUUGUGCUCCUGAGAUGUCUUUGCCAGCUCUACCAACAUCAGAAAUAUUGGGAAAUUAUAGCUGUCCCCGUGGUGGAGCGGAUCUCCUUGUGCCCAUUCUUUUGUUUUUUGUCUCGAUAUUGUUUUGAAGAGAUUUGCCAGAAGCUGAUCCAGUUUGAGUUAGAGCCCUGUAGGUACACUGAGUGACCAGAUAUUGUGUAUAUAUGCUUUCGAAUAUCCUUCCUCGUGUAUAGUUGCUGUCUGUAUGGCAAGUCAAUUCAUGGUUUUGCAAUAUUAGACUGUUCGACAGGUAUUUUGCUGAAUUUGAUGAUCUGCGUGUGCAAAUUCUAGACAAUGUGGAUUUGACCAUGUCCAAUUGUGCAAGAGUUGAGGUGCAGGUAGAUUUGCUGGCUAAGUGCCAAAAUAAUAUCAUACCAAAAAUGGUAAACUGCAGGUGACAUAAUGAAGUUUUACAUUGAGAGCUACAAAAUGAAGCGAAAAGAGAUAACAAGAAGGAAUCUGCAAAAGAUGAAGAGAUGAUACAAUGGAACAGUUAAACCAGGAGUCAAUAACCUUCUAAUAGAGGAGUUGGGAGGACCAAACCUGUGGAAUCUUAUGAAAGAAAAGUGUCUUUACUAUGUCAAAGAAGUACAAAUGGUGUACCAAAUAAUAUUCAUCAAGUCUGACAAAUGUCGAAACAUAAAACAAGUUUGAAGCCUCAACAGAGAAGAUGAGGAAGAAGUGAUUAAUCAAGAGAUACAGGUGGGAACUCAUAUCAAGACACAAGGAAACUGAAGUUAAUCAUCAGGGGAGCUACUCAUAAAAACAAGUCUCCUAAUCAGAGCUUUAUAGUCUUAUAAAGGAAUUAGAAAACUCAAACCAACUGCUUAUGCGCUCUUUAAUCCUUGUUAAACUACUGUAAAAUCAGCCAACCAAGCAAGCACGAGAGAUGCGGAGCCCGAAGCUACCAUCGUGACCUAGUCUGAUUCAAAAGAAGGUUGAAGGGUUUGGCAACAACAAAUAGGAAUGACGGAACAACGGCUAUUUUUUCAUUUUAGUUCGACUUAUUUGCAUCUGUUAAGCAUAUAGCUAGGUGCUAGCGUUCCUUUGUGGAUCUCCAAAUUUCACUUGCAAUCAAGUGGCUCAACAUCCUAUUCCUUCUACUAAUUCUUA